rnacentral:rRNA from 1 species
UCGGGAAUUUUGGGCAAUGGGGGAAACCCUGACCCAGCAACGCCGCGUGAAGGAUGAAGUACUUCGGUAUGUAAACUUCGAAAGAAUAGGAAGAAUAAAUGACGGUACUAUUUAUAAGGUCCGGCUAACUACGUGCCAGCAGCCGCGGUAAUACGUAGGGACCAAGCGUUGUUCGGAUUUACUGGGCGUAAAGGGCGCGUAGGCGGCAUGACAAGUCACUUGUGAAAUCUCUGGGCUUAACCCAGAACGGCCAAGUGAUACUGUCGCGCUAGAGUGCAGAAGGGGCAAUCGGAAUUCUUGGUGUAGCGGUGAAAUGCGUAGAUAUCAAGAGGAACACCUGAGGUGAAGACGGGUUGCUGGGCCGACACUGACGCUGAGGCGCGAAAGCCAGGGGAGCAAACGGGAUUAGAUACCCCUGUAGUCCCUGAGCGGGCUGGCAAGGCGCAU